rnacentral:SRP_RNA from 1 species
GCUGGGCGUGGUGGCACACGCCUGUAAUCCCAGGUACUCGGGAGGCUGAGGCGGGAGAAUCGCUUGAGCCCGGGAGGCGGAGGUUGCAGUGAGCCAAGAUUGUGCCACUGCACUCUAGCUUGGGCAAGAGAGUGAGACUCCGUCUCAA